UCCGACCGUCACUGAGAGAGAUGAGGUAGGAGAGCAGGAAGGAAGCAUGUGUUGUUGGUGUUUAAACGUCUGAAGUCCUUUCUUUGCAUCAGUUUU